rnacentral:lncRNA from 1 species
GAGCAUACGCUGACAUUCUAUAAAAAAGGGACUCCUCCUCUCAUUUGAUACACGUUAAAAUUUACAUAUUCACUCUCAAAGAGACACAGAGAAUUCACUUUUUAUUUUCCAUUUUCUGCUCUCAUCUCAUACUGAUCUUGAGUUAAUUUCUGGAUUUCUGGGUUAAGUCUGAAGCUAUUUUGAGCUGGUUUUCUGUUGUUGUUUUAUUCCUUGUUGUUACUCCUUCUCAACUCCAGAGAUUUAUUUUCCUUUUCAUCUAAUUCUGCUGUAAAAAGGUAUGUGCCACAUGACUGCAGUACCUAUUUAAGCACAUGAAUAAAGCCUGAGUGUCAGUAGAUUUGUUUAAAGCUUUCUAUGUGUGUUAAUCGUUUGUUUAAGCUACAUAACUGCACUAAAUUUUUCUCUGAUUUAGUUUCCUAUUUAAUGUUAAAUAUGUAGUUUAAACAGGAAUUGAUUUUACUUAAUAUCAUAUUGAUUGUAUCUUCAACUAGAAAUGAUCCAUCACUGAUAUACAUGUCAAAACUGCUCCAAAAUGCUUUUUGUUGUCGUCAUAUGAAUUAAUCUAAGAUUGCUUUGGGUUGAAAUAUCCAAGGAUUCAGGUUAUGAAUGGCUUUUGGGUGUUAGAUGUGUGAAGAACAAAAGCACAAGUGGAAUUAUAUUAGCAUUUAGUCAUAUAUUUUUUUGAGUUAAAAUUAUAUUCUAUUGAUACUCAAAAAUUCUGUACAAUUUGAGUCCUAGUAGCAGCUUUGACAGACUACUAUCAUUUACAUCACAAUUUGCUAUUUAACACUUUGUGUCUAUCAAUCUAUAUUACUUCUCAAUACAUACACUAUUCUAAUCAACUCCUAUUAUGUUCCUACUCUUAGUUGUAUCUUGGAUUCCAAUUCAGCUGCUGUAUUGUGCCCUUCCAUUUGCUGAUGUUCUUCCAUCUGACAUGUAUGUGCAACACUAUCUCUCUGCAUAUUUGAAGUUUAUCAUACUUGGCUUUAUCAAACCUGAUUUCGUUUCUCUCCCUCCAAUUUAUUGCAACAAUUAUGGCAAAAAUACAGCUGGUGAUAGCAUUUAUUCCUUUCCUGCUUUUAGCUUUCUUGCAUGCCCAUUUCAGUUCAGCUUCCCAUCCUCCAAUGUUCCUCUUAUAUCCCAGCCAUAAGCAUAGUUAGACCACAAUCUCUUUGUGUUUGAGCAUUCAAAGAACAAAUGGUUAAAUGAUUCUAGAUUAUGCCCACAGAAUGCAUAAGCUGCAGGAACUUGAAUACCAAUCUUCAAUAGUCUGUCAACUGUUGCUAGUCUCUGCUGUGCUGCAAGCCAAAGAGUGAAUCUAUAUCUAGGAUGUAUAUUUGGAUGCAGCAUUAAACUCUUCCAUUCAACUCUAAGGUAAUUUGGUAUCAACUUCAAGUACAUCUGCUUGAUCUGAAAAUUUUCAUUCUUGCACAUUGCCUGUAAUCUGUUGUGAAUGCUUCCUUGGAGUUGCUGAUGCUCCAUGAUCGAACUUCUAAUAUCUAGUAUCUUCCUCACCACCUAAGAUGUUGUCUUAGGGGUUGCCAUUAUUUCCAAGUCCCUAUUCUUUAUAUAGAAACUGUGUACUCACCUUAUCCAUAAACAGUCCUUCUUCCUUGUUAUGUUCCAUAGAUGUUUGAUAAUUGCAGCUUUGUUCCACACCUUUAUGUCCAGUACAUUGAGUCCUCCAGUAGCUAUUGGUCUGCACACCUUUUCCCAAACUACUAUUGCCUUCUUUUAAAUAUUAGAAACAUCAGUCCAUAAGAAAGUUCUGCAUAUUGCUUCAAUUAUUUUUAUCACCUUCUUUGGAAGAAUAAAAAUCUGUGCCCAAUAGGUCUGAAUACCAAAAAUAACAGCCUUUAUCAGUUGACACCUACCAGCAUAAGAUAGAAAUUUUGCUAACCAGCAUGUGAUUUUUGCUGUUAUCUUCUCAAUAAGAGGCAAAUAUUAUUAGACUGCUAGCUUCUUACAUUUAGUCAUAUUUGUAAAAGUUAGUCUUCAAAAAUAGUUAUUAAUGUAAGACUUCGAAUACAAUUACUUUGAUGCAAUGAACCAGUUUUCUUUUUUUACAUUCAUGAUUUGAGGUUAAAGGUUGUACUAAUGCUAUCUUGUAUCUGUGUUGGGCCCAAUUUCGAGCCCGUUAGAAGCCUACAGCUUCAUAAGGUGGAAGGCGGGUCAUUUCAGGAAGGCUAAUGCAUGUUUAAGCUCUAUCUUGAGCCCAUGUUUUCCACUGGGCCCAUCAAGGAUCUGUAUGAGUUUGCCAACUUAAAUGUUGGCACGUAAUCCAUUAUUCAACCAUUAAUUCAUGAUUACGUCAAAUAAUUAAGAGAUAAAUAGGUAGUCAGUUUAAUUAAUUCCACGCCAACUUUAACGUGAACCUGUGCCACGAUGUAAGAUUGUUGUUUGUCCUUUUCCUUCAAAGUAAGUCAUUCAUGAUGUUUGAUUCUUUAGAUAUGUUUAUUUUUGAUAGAUAAUUCUUUUGUUGAAAUUUCAAACACUUGGUUCGCACCUCAAUCUAGAUUCACUCAGAAUAAAUAUGCCAUAUGUCAAGCCUCC